CAGCAGCCGCGGUAAAACGAAGGGUGCAAGCGUUAAUCGGAAUUACUGGGCGUAAAGCGUGCGUAGGCGGUGAGUUAAGUCUGCUGUGAAAUCCCCGGGCUCAACCUGGGAAUGGCAGUGGAUACUGGCUCGCUAGAGUGUGUCAGAGGAUGGUGGAAUUCCCGGUGUAGCGGUGAAAUGCGUAGAGAUCGGGAGGAACAUCAGUGGCGAAGGCGGCCAUCUGGGACAACACUGACGCUGAGGCACGAAAGCGUGGGGAGCAAACAGGAUUAGAUACCCGAGUAGUCCCUGUCUCUUAUAC
rnacentral:rRNA from 1 species